GGGCCUGUGGCUCAAGGAGUAGGGUGCCAGCCCCAUAUACUGGGGGUGGUAGGUUCAAGCCCAGCCCUGGCCCA
rnacentral:tRNA from 1 species